rnacentral:lncRNA from 1 species
GGGGCGUGUCCGGGGCGUGUCCGCGGGGAGGCGGCCGGGGCGGGCGGGGCGCAGACCCGGAGCGGAGCGCGGCUGGCUCGGCGCGCAGGGCCCCGCGGCGGAGGUAGGGCCGGGCGGGCGGGCGGGGGCGGGGGGUCCCGGGCGGACGCGGCCUCGGGGCCUGGGUCCUCGGCCCGGCUCUGGGCUCCGCCCCGGGGCGCGGGGGCGCGGGACCGUGUGGGGCUUGGGGGGAGCAUCCUGGCCCCGCGGCCUCGGGCUUGUGCCAACCGGGGGGGGGCGUGGGGGCCGGCGGGACCCCUCUCCGGGCCCGAGGCCGCAGGUGCCCCCGAACCCCGACGGGUUACGCAGGGCAGCGGUGCUGGUGGGAAGAGGAGGGCUCCGAGACCCCAAAGUUGGGAGGCGCCCGGACCCGACCUCCGCGGGGCCAGGGGGACGCUGGUGCCCCGCGGGGGGGAGCCGGGGGCGGGGGAGGCCGGGCCCUGCCGGGGUCACUGCGGCGCCGCUUCCCCUUAGCCCGGGCUGCUCCGCGCAUAGUUUCCACUGGGGUCUGUGCAGGCGGGAGGUGACUGCCCUCGGCCCGUGUCCUGCACACGUCAGCCCUGGGGCUGCCAAGGGCCUGAGGCGCCCGGCUGGGCUAGGGGCCUGCCCGGACCCCCGAGGGACCCCUGGGUCGGGUGCAGCAGGGGUCGGGCGUUCAGAGGGCGGGAGCUGCCCUCUGGACUAGAGGAUUUCCGAUUCUUUUUUCUUUUUUUAAGAUUUUAUUUAUUCAUGAGACACACAGAGAGAGGAGCAGAGACAGGCAGAGGGAGGAGCAGGCUCCAUGCAGGGAGCCCGAGGCGGGACUCGGUCCUGGGACCCCGGGGUCACACCCUGGGCCAAAGGCAGACGCUCCACCACGGAGCCCCCAGGUGUCCUGAGGAUUCCGGAUUCUGUCUUGGGUCGGGAGCAGCCCUCCUGGAGCUGGGCCCUCGGGCAGCAAUUUUGAUGAGGGAGGUGGAACCUCCCCUGGGGGGCUUCUGCCGGGCGCAGCCUCGCCUCCUUCCCGCUCCGGGCCAAGAGCACCUGUGGCUCACUUUCCUCACUCCCAGCUUCUUCGUGGAGAAGGGCCUCCGGGAAGCGCGGCGGGGAGGGGGGGACACGGGGUCGAUGCCUCUGGAAGGAGGGGCCCUUGGGUCGUGGCGCCCUCCGACUGCCCUUGGACAGAAACCCAGAUCCCCGCCUGGGCCCAAGGCCCCUCAAGCGUGGCCUCUGCUGGCCCCUUCCGUGUUACCUCCUGCCCCUCGCUCCUUCCUCUGUGGCCGCCGCGGCUCUGGAGCUGUUCCCAAGGCCCAGAACAUUCUCCCCCCUUCUCCGGGCUUUGCAGGACUGGCUCUUCCCGUUCCGUCAGGUCGAGUUCUUGAACACUUGAGACGUGUGAUGUCGACACGGACGCUGUCACAUACCGUUUGGCAGGUUGCUUUUUCCUCUCGGCCUGUGACGUCUGUGCUCACUCCGUCUUGAGCCGCGUGGACUGGGAGUCCGAGCUGACUCAUGCACAGCGCGCCCUCGGGCAGCUUUGCAAAGGCUCCUCCGCUCACUAGCGACUCCCGACUCCCGGGACGCCUGUGCUCGCCCCGUCCCAGCACCGGGGCUGCUCUAGUGACCGAGAAAGGGCCCCUGGUCUCCCGGGGCGGGAGAUAGGAACCCCAGAGAGACAAGAAGACGCUCGGCCCUCCGAAGUCCCGUGGAGAGAAACACAAAGUAGGGUAACGUCUUGGAGAACGACGCCGGCAAGCGUUUUCCGUAGAGGCCAGGGGGCAUCCUAGGCUUCGCGGCCGGGGCUGUGUCCGCCGCGGCAGCACGAACGCCGCCAGGGACCCGGGUAGCUGAAAGGGUACGGCUGUGUUCCAAUAAAACUUUAUUUACAAAAAUAGGCUGUGGGCCAGGUGCGGCCCUCGGGCCCCAGUUUGCCGACCCUGUGCGGGGUUAGGGGAGGCUCCCUGAGCUGGGGCUGUCGCAGGGCCUUUCUGGGGGGAGAUGAGAACCCAGAGCCCAGUCAUAGGAAGGAGCUGGCGAGGGACGACGUGAUGGCACCUUGCUGUUGCUUCAGUGUGUAGCUGCCUGGUGAGACGGGGUGUGGGGGAUAAAACUGUGGAGCUGGGGCGCCUGGGGGCUCAGCGGGUGAGCGUCCGCCUUCGGCUCAGGGUGCGACCCCGGGGUCCUGGGAUCGAGUCCCGUAUUGGGCUCCCUGCAGGGAGCCUGAGUCUCUCAUGAGCAAAUAAAUUAAAUAUUAAAAAAAAAAUGGUGCAGCUUGCUCAUGGGUUGAGUGUUGGGGGUACAGGAAGGAGGAGGUUCAAGGAUGUUCCUGGAUUUGGGGCUUGAACCAACAGGUGAGCAGUGGUUCUGUUCAUGGAAAAGAAGAGCUGGAGGGAAAGGCGGGCUUUGUGUUGGGCUUGUUGAAUUUGAGGAGCUUCUCCCAUGAGCAGGUGGGAGGUCGUGUGGGCAGGUGGACGUCGGUGCAGAGAGGCCAGGGCUGGAGACCUGGCCUGGGGAGUCAGGGUAUUUGGGGGGCGGGUGUGAGUCUGGGGGGUCACCGGGAGGGUGUGUGGCCGGAGCAGAGGGGCCUGGGUGAGAUCUGGGCCACCAAGUUUUCGUGCUUGGCAGAGGGGGA